UACAGAGGUCUCGAGCGUUGUUCGGAUUCAUUGGGCGUAAAGGGCGCGUAGGCGGCGGGGUAAGUCUGGUGUGAAAUCUCGGAGCUCAACUUCGGAACUGCCUUUGAUACAGCACGUCUUGAGUCCGAUAGAGGUGGGUGGAAUUCCUAGUGUAGAGGUGAAAUUCGUAGAUAUUAGGAAGAACACCGGUGGCGAAGGCGGCCCACUGGAUCGGUACUGACGCUGAGGUGCGAAAGCGUGGGGAGCAAACAGG
rnacentral:rRNA from 1 species